rnacentral:RNase_P_RNA from 1 species
CCAGAGGGUCGGGCGGCCGCGGGCAUGGCGACAUGCGCGAGGAAAGUCCGGGCUCCACGGAACGACGGUGCCGGGUAACGCCCGGCGGGGGCGACCCCAGGGAAAGUGCCACAGAGAGCAGGUCGCGACGGCUUCGGCCACGCGAAGGUGAAAGGGUGCGGUAAGAGCGCACCGCGCUUCCGGUAACGGCGGCGGCAGGGCAAACCCCACCGGGAGCAAGACCGAAUAGGGGUGGCAUAUGGGCCUGUUCCGGCCCGCUGCCCGGGUUGGUUGCUUGAGGCCGGCAGCAAUGCCGGCCCUAGAGGAAUGGUCGCCUAUCCCUGCAAGGGGAGGACAGAACCCGGCUUACAGACCCUCUGGCUUA